rnacentral:rRNA from 1 species
AAUAAGCGGAGGAAAAGAAACCAACAGGGAUUGCCUUAGUAGCGGCGAGUGAAGCGGCAAAAGCUCAAAUUUGAAAUCUGGCACUUUCAGUGUCCGAGUUGUAAUUUGAAGAAGGUAUCUUUGGGUCUGGCUCUUGUCUAUGUUUCUUGGAACAGAACGUCACAGAGGGUGAGAAUCCCGUGCGAUGAGAUGACCCAGACCUAUGUAAAGUUCCUUCGAAGAGUCGAGUUGUUUGGGAAUGCAGCUCUAAGUGGGUGGUAAAUUCCAUCUAAAGCUAAAUAUUGGCGAGAGACCGAUAGCGAACAAGUACAGUGAUGGAAAGAUGAAAAGAACUUUGAAAAGAGAGUGAAAAAGUACGUGAAAUUGUUGAAAGGGAAGGGCUUGAGAUCAGACUUGGUAUUUUGUAUGUUACUCUUUCGGGGGUGGCCUCUACAGUUUACCGGGCCAGCAUCAGUUUGGGCGGUAGGAGAAUUGCAAAGAAAUGUGGCACUGCCUCGGUAGUGUGUUAUAGUCUUUGUCGAUACUGCCAGCCUAGACUGAGGACUGCGGCUUCGG